UCGGUCACCGAGAGAAGAGGGUGGGAAGAGGGGCGCGCCGUUGGUGGCCUGGCCGCUGCGAGUUGGGCCGGGAUAGGGAAAAUGGGCCGAGCGAGUGGGAAAGGAGCAGGCUGCGGGAGGGGGAAGCUGGGCUUCGGCCUGGAUCCCAGGGCGUUCUCCAUUUCCCUUAUUAUUUUUUUUUUCUUUUUCCCAAAUCAUUUUCCAAAU
rnacentral:lncRNA from 1 species